rnacentral:rRNA from 1 species
UACGGAGGGGGUUAGCGUUGUUCGGAAUUACUGGGCGUAAAGCGCGCGUAGGCGGAUUAGAAAGUUGGGGGUGAAAUCCCGGGGCUCAACCUCGGAACUGCCUCCAAAACUGCUAGUCUAGAGUUCGAGAGAGGUGAGUGGAAUUCCGAGUGUAGAGGUGAAAUUCGUAGAUAUUCGGAGGAACACCAGUGGCGAAGGCGGCUCACUGGCUCGAUACUGACGCUGAGGUGCGAAAGUGUGGGGGGCAAACAGG